AUUAGCUUGGUCUCAGUGGUUCUGGUGUCUACUGCUCCUUCUUGGUUUUUGUACCCGCUGAAGAAAUUAAUGCUGCUGUAUCUGUUAACUUGUCCCUUCCCUCCUGAUUGCAAUUUACAAAGAGCAGCCCGACCUCAGUUUUCCUCUGCCGACAGCCAAGGAUUUCGGGGAUUUUCACAGGCAGCCCUCACAUCCACAAGCCUCUGUUCUAGGUAACCUCUCCAGGCAUCAGAAGAACACCUUGAUGCUUGUCCAGCCUGCUCAGCUCCACUGACCUGGCUCUUGGGUUCCUCAAGGAGUCUCCUCUGGCUGGUCUUUGUCCCCGAAGCCCACACUGCUGGGAGCAUCCAGGAGAUAAGAAAGUGGUGAAUUAUGUUUUGCAUCAUCUAUGGUUGGAAUUUCAGUGCUGCAGGAAAGAAAUACUCUUUGCAAGUAACUUGCAGUAAAAAUGCCAGUUUAGGGAUGGGUCCCUGGACAGCAGUUUCCACCUGGCUCUGCAGGGAGGACUCGGGAUGCAGGAGGGAAGUGCCCCUGGCCUGGUGAGUCGUUUGGAGGAGAAAAAUAUACACGGCAUCUGUACUGGACGUGAGCUGUGUCUAGCCUGAUCUUGAAGCUAUUGAGUUUAUUAAGGAUUAUUAUUUCAGGCAUCCUUUCCCCUGCUACUGAACGUCCAUUAAGAUGGAAAACAAACCCUUCUCUCUUUGAGCACGUGGACAGUUUUGGUCUGGACCAACUUGUGUCGGAGUGACAUAACCCCCAAAAAAUCAGUAGGAACCGUUUGACUGAAGCUCUGCUGCCAGAAAUAUUGAAGGUUAAAAUAAUCCUUGGCAAGGCCUCCAUCCCCUGUGGAUCCCAGGUGUUGGACACGCUGAUUCCAGCUCUGCCUCGGCUGCUUUGGCCUCUUGUGUGUCUGUGAAGCAAUUGAUGGCAGAGAAGGGAAAGGAUGAAGAGCUGUGGCUGAGAGGACUAAUGGUUUAAGUUUUAGUUUCCAUGUAUUUCAGGUCCUGUGCUGCCCAGGGUGCAGCUCUGAGCUCACACUCAGGGUCACUCAGCUCUCUGCACACAGCAGCGACACAAAACAAAUCCUUUUCCUGCUG